rnacentral:rRNA from 1 species
UACAGAGGGGGCAAGCGUUAUUCGGAAUUAUUGGGCGUAAAGGGCGCGUAGGCGGCUUGGCAAGUGGAUGGUGAAAUCCCUCGGCUUAACCGAGGAACUGCCGUCCAAACUGCUUCGCUUGAGACCGGGAGAGGUGAGUGGAAUUCCCAGUGUAGCGGUGAAAUGCGUAGAUAUUCGGAGGAACACCAGUGGCGAAGGCGGCUCACUGGUCCGGUACUGACGCUGAGGUGCGAAAGCGUGGGGAGCAAACAGG